AACAAACGCUGGCGGCGUGCCUAAUACAUGCAAGUCGAACGGGGAAAGCUUUCGGGUGAGUACUAGUGGCGCACGGGUGAGGAACGCGUGGAUAAUCUGCCUUAGAGUGGGGGAUAACUAGUCGAAAGAUUAGCUAAUACCGCAUAAGACCACAGGAGCUGCGGCUCUAGGGGUCAAAGGUUUUUCGCUCUAAGAUGAGUCCGCGUAAGAUUAGCUAGUUGGUGAGGUAACGGCUCACAAAGGCGACGAUCUUUAACUGGUCUGAGAGGAUGAUCAGUCACACUGGAACUGAGACACGGUCCAGACUCCUACGGGAGGCAGCAGUAGGGAAUAUUGCACAAUGGAGGAAACUCUGAUGCAGCGACGCCGCGUGAGUGAUGAAGGCCUUCGGGUCGUAAAGCUCUGUCGCAGGGGAAUAACACAAUGAAUGUACCCUGUAAGAAAGGAUCGGCUAACUUCGUGCCAGCAGCAGCCGCCGUAA
rnacentral:rRNA from 1 species